rnacentral:rRNA from 1 species
UACGUAGGGGGCAAGCGUUGUCCGGAUUUAUUGGGCGUAAAGAGCGUGUAGGCGGCCAUACAGGUCCGUUGUGAAAACUGGAGGCUUAACCUCCAGACGUCGAUGGAAACCGUAUGGCUAGAGUCCGGAAGAGGAGAGUGGAAUUCCUGGUGUAGCGGUGAAAUGCGCAGAUAUCAGGAAGAACACCCGUGGCGAAGGCGGCGCUCUGGGACGGUACUGACGCUGAGACGCGAAAGCGUGGGGAGCGAACAGG